GACGAACGCUGGCGGCGUGCUUAACACAUGCAAGUCGAACGGAAAGGCCCUGCUUGCAGGGUACUCGAGUGGCGAACGGGCGAGUAACACGUGGGUGAUCUGCCCUGCACUUCGGGAUAAGCCUGGGAAACUGGGUCUAAUACCGGAUAGGAGCCAUUUUUAGUGUGAUGGUUGGAAAGUUUUUUCGGUGUAGGAUGAGCUCGCGGCCUAUCAGCUUGUUGGUGGGGUAAUGGCCUACCAAGGCGGCGACGGGUAGCCGGCCUGAGAGGGUGGACGGCCACAUUGGGACUGGGAUACGGCCCGGACUCCUCCGGGGGCAGCAGUGGGGAAUAUUGCACAAUGGGCGCAAGCCUGAUGCAGCGACGCCGCGUGGGGGAUGACGGCCUUCGGGUUGUAAACUCCUUUCGCUAGGGACGAAGCUUUUUGUGACGGUACCUAGAUAAGAAGCACCGGCUAACUACGUG
rnacentral:rRNA from 1 species